AUAAAAGAGCUUCAGCAUCCAAAGAGCGACACUACAGCCUCUUCACUCGUCUCUGAGAAAGCCAGCUGAAGGUGAGAUCACUGUAACCAUGCUGAAGGUAGCACUUGUUCUUGGAUGCCUCCUGAGCCUCAUUUUGGCUGACCCUAUGGAGCACCAGCGUUUUGCCCGCUCUAGUUCUGGUUCUAAUUCUGAUGAGACAACCACCAGGACUACGACCACAGUAGCAGGUGCAACGACUACAUCAACCGCAUUAUCACUGGCCCAGGUCAUUGCCCUUCUUCAACAACUACUAAGGCAGAUAUGAUCAAAUUGGAAGCCUGCUGUUUUACCCAGAAUGCUAAUUCAGUCAACAGUUGGGGAAAUAGUAUUCCUCAUUGUAUGAUAACCUAAAAAAUAAACCAUUUCAAUGCAAA